rnacentral:rRNA from 1 species
AUACGGAUGGUGCGAGCGUUGUUCGGAAUUACUGGGCGUAAAGGGCGCGUAGGCGGCGAUGUAAGUCAAAUGUGAAAGUCCUCGGCUUAACCGGGGAAGUGCAUCUGAAACUGCAUUGCUUGAGUAUGGGAGAGGAAAGUGGAAUUCCCGGUGUAGAGGUGGAAUUCGUAGAGAUCGGGAGGAAUACCGGUGGCGAAGGCGACUUUCUGGACCAAUACUGACGCUGAGGCGCGAAAGCGUGGGGAGCAAACAGGAUUAGAUACCCUAGUAGUCC